rnacentral:miRNA from 3 species
UAUUCAUUUAUCCCCAGCCUACA